rnacentral:misc_RNA from 1 species
GAUGAAGAACGCAGCGAAAUGCGAUAAGUAAUGUGAAUUGCAGAAUUCAGUGAAUCAUCGAAUCUUUGAACGCACAUUGCGCCCGCCAGCAUUCUGGCGGGCAUGCCUGUUCGAGCGUCAUUUCAACCCUCAAGCUCUGCUUGGUGUUGGGGCCCUACGUCUGACGUAGGCCCUCAAAGACAGUGGCGGACCCUCUCGGAGCCUCCUUUGCGUAGUAACUAACGUCUCGCACUGGGAUUCGGAGGGACUCUUGCCGUAAAACCCCCAAUUUUUACAGGUUGACCUCGGAUCAGGUAGGAAUACUCGCUGAACUUAAGCAUAUCAAUAAGCGGAGGA